AAUAACGCCAUGAUUAGUGUGGUUUGGUGUGGUUUAAUAUCGGAUCUAACAUGAAUUUCAUCACGUCAUUUCUUUAGUUGAACAAAUGUUUGCUAGUAACCCGGGUAGCAUCACAUUAAUGUAUACAAGAACAAGAAGACAAGGGUUAAAAUAUAGAAUAAUAUUGUAUUGUAUAGUUUGUAUAGUUGUUGUGUGUACUGAGUUGAUCACUGCUCCAAGUGCACAGUUUAAAUCAAGGGCACAGCUGCUGUGAUAAACAUGUCUUAAAUUUUCCAUGAUGUCAUUUUUAAGGGGAAAAGAGUUUAGAGCUUAAAGGCUUCUGUUAAGACACAUUCAAUCCCUUAUACCUAACUUAUAUUUAUAUUCACUUUUACAGUCGUUGACAGGGACUUUUAUCCAGAGUGACUUGCCACUGGAGAGCUAUAAAACACAACAAUACCAAAAAAAGGUUUCGUUACAUAUUGAUAUCAUAUAUUCCAAGGAAAAAAGGACAUGGGCCAAGGCGACAAGAGUUCCCCAAGACUGAGGGCAAUUAAAAAUAUUCAUAUUUUUAUUUACAAAAUGGUUUUCAUGAGAGUGAUUUUUUGGGUGUACGUAUUAAAUAAACAGUGCAGUUAUUGUUUGCCUUAUCUUAUAGCAGCAUGUGGGAUGGUGAACUCUGAAAUGGAGGUGAACUUUGAUCAGCUGAUCACCACUUCUGUGUGUGUGUGUGUGUGUGUGUGUGUGUGUGUGUGUGUGUGUGUAUGUGUGUGUGUGUGUGUGUGUGUGUGUGUGGCUCCUGCUAAAUGCUGUGCAUAACCAAAACUGAAAGUAGUGGUUGAGUCCAUUAGCCGUCUUUAGGGACAGUCUCAAGGAAACGAGGAGCACAAACAACCACAACGAUUCUGAAAGGCUCGUUAUCAGUCUUCCUCCAGAAUGCUUCAAGGAACAAAAACACGCCUUUUCUCAAUCAAUGAAAGUAGGAAAUUCUUGGAUGUCCAAAGUAAGAUUGAGGAACGGUUGAAGAAACGCGUUCAGCUCCAUCAAGUGGAUUCAGAGGAUUAUUGUGAUGUCAUCAUGGCUUUUGUACCCAUUGUGUCCCGGGCUGGAACAGACAUUGAAGCUGCUCUUCGAAAUAUUCCAACAAAUCAGCCUGUCAUCCUCGUGGUGCUCCACCACACGUUUGAUGAAAAUCACAUUGCACCACAGAGCAAAAGGUGUGUGGAUAGGGAUGGUGUAUUUGCUGUAGACUUCCUCUGUCAUGAAGAUAAGGGACUGCUGGAAUGCUUGACCAAUGAGGAGGCACUGAAAUCCGUCAGUGAUUAUCUGGUCUCUAUGGGCCCCAGUACCCCGCUUAUACCAGUUCAUCCACGGCCAUCCCAAAGACGUUGCAUCUAUUUGGGUGUCUCUGCUUUUGUUGUUGUUGUUGUUGUUGUUAUUGGGCUAGUUAUUCCCUUUCUCAUUCCGAAAAGUGACGGACAUGGUGACACUCAAACUACGGUGAUACCUCCUAUAACUGUAACUACACAUCAGUCUAACAUAACUGUAACUACACAUCAGCGUAACAUAACUGAAACUACACAGCAGUCUAAGAUAACUGUAGCUACACAGCAGCGUAAGAAACGAUCCCUUCAGAGAGGCCGAGGCUAAUUCAUUAGUUUGGUGAACACCCAAGACUGUUGUGUUCGUGAUGAAAAGAUGGAGAUGAAACGAGAGUUUAGGAUUUCAGCUUUUAUUUCCUGGUGUUUACAUCUAGACGUGUUAAACAUAAAACAUACAACCUUUUGUAUCAGACCACCCACUUUUUAGGUGAGCAAAAGUAUAGGAACAGAUCAGUCUUGAAGUAAAUGAAAGUAAAUAACACUUAACAUUUGGCUGCGUGUCCCUUGCUUGCAAAAACUCAUCAAACUGCAUCAAUCCUGUGACUCACUGACACUUGUGUUGCUUUUCCAGGUAUUUACUGCAGCUUCUUUCAGUAGUUGUGUGUUUCGGUGGUUUCUCCCUUCAGUCUCCUCUUCAGGAGGUGAGGUGCUGAUCAGUUGGGUGAAGGUCUGGUGAUGGACUUGUCCAGUCUAAAACCUUCCACUUUCCCCCUGAUGAAGUCCUGUGUUGAGGUGGAAGUGUGUUUUGGAUCGUUGUCUUGCUGCAUGAUGAAGUUCCUCUGAUUCAUUCGGAUGGAUUUCUCUGUAAAUCUGCAGACAGAAUGUUCCUGUACAGUUCUGAAUUCAUUCUGCUGCUCCAUCAUGAGUUCAUCAAUAAAGAUUAGUGAGAAUGUUCCAAAAGCAGCCGUGCAAGCCCAAGCCAUGACACUACCUCCACCAUGUUCCACAGAUCAGCUUGUAUGUUCUGGAUCAUGAGCAGAUCCUUUCUUUCUCCACACUUUGGUCUUUCCAUCACUUUGGUAGAGGUUCGUCUUGUUCCAGAACUUUUGUGGAUCAUCUCUGUAUUUCUUUGCCAAUUCCAAUUUGACUUUCUGACUCGUACUGCUGAUGACUGGUUUGCAUCUUGUGGUACGGCCUCGAUAUUUCUGCUCUCGAAGACUUCUUCAAACGGUGGCUUGUGAUGCCUUCAAUUCUGCCCUGUGGAGCUUGUUGGUGAUGUCACUGACAGUUGUUGUUGGGUUUUUCUUCACAGCUCUCUGUCAUCACCUGCUGUUGUUUUCCUUGACUGACCCGUUCAGUGUCUGUUUCUCAGUACACCAGCGGUUUCUUUCAUUUUCAUGACAUUCCAAAUUGUUGUAUUGGCUUUACCCAGUGUUUCUGCAAAGGCUUUGAUUGAUUUUCCCUCUUUCCCCGCUUUAAAAUGGCUCGCUUUUCUCCCCUAGACAGCUCUCCGAUCUUCAUGUUGGCUUAUCCUUUAUAACAACAUAUGCAGUCUUCACAGGUGAAACUGAAGAGUAGAUGUUCAGAGCUAUUUAUUGUUUAAACAGUCGAUCUAACAGGACACGCCUGGGGAACAAGAAACACCCGUCAGUCACGUGUUCCAAUGUUUUUGCUCCCUUACAAAUUGGGUGGUCUGAUACAAACUGUGCUGUUCUGUAUCUAUAUAUAAAUACCAGGAAAUAAAAGCUGAAAUUCUAAACUCUCUUCUCAUAUUGCUCUUUUAAUAUCAAAAACAAAUGUCUUCACUCAACAGUGAAAACAAUUUAAUUGGCCUUGCCGUCCCAAUAUUUUUGCAGGGGGACUGUAACUGUGACUAUAUAGCAGCUUAAUAUAAUGGUAAUAAACAUUAACUUAACAUACUGGCGAAUAAACAGCAGCCUAAUAUAACUCUAAUUAUACAGCAGCCUGACAUAGUGGCAACGAAAUAGCAACGUAAUCUAACUAUAACUGCACAACAAACAUAAAAUAAACACUAAUCUUUCUUCUAAAUACUUUUUAAAAUUUCAUCAAUUCUUUUGAAUCAGCUUCAUUUUCAUUACAGUUAGAACUUUUCCUUUCAAACCUUAUGAGUAUUUUGACAUCAAUCAUUCUGCAAUCAUCCUAACAUAUACUUUAUAUACAUAUAAAGGAUUCUUUGAUUAAUAAAGGUUUCAUGUAGAACCUUACAACAGAGAUUUUCUGUUUCUGAGAGGGUUCUAGGUUGAACCACUGUUAGGGUGUAGUAAAUGAAGAAUUGCUUACACAAAACUAGUAUGACUUGAUAUUACCUUGUAAUUGUUCAUAAGUUUAAGAUUACCUCCACUAUAUUUAAUGUUACUCCACUAUAUUUUGUAGUUUCUAUAUUUAAUGCUUAUUAAAUGCACAGAACAUUAAAAUCGGAAACGAAGUCUGACAAGAAUGUAACAGAAUAUAACAAGACUGAAUCUGUGUGUAAAGACUUCAUGAAUGUUUGUUUCUAAUCAAUAAAAUUCUCAUACGCUUAUGCUAAAUGGUAAUGUGAUG
ensembl:lncRNA